GUUAGUAAGCGUGAUCAUUUCACUUUUUAGAAAUUAUAGUGAACGUUUCUAAAGUAUAACCAACAAAUAUUCCUCAUUCAAUUAUUUAGAUCCAGUUGGCUUGCCGAGCAGGGGAAUUUUAAUGCUGGAAACUUAAUCCCUUCCAACAAAAACCGAAACCGAAGCAGGGUUUGAAAUGGCAGACAAUGGCCCUGGAGUGCUCUUCCUCACACUGGCUGUCUCCUCAGCAGGUAAGGGAGGUCAGAGAACCCAUGCCAGGGUAAUUUUUUACAACAUUAUCCCUUGCACUCACUUCUGUUCCGAUGCCAAGUAGACUCUUGACAAAUGGCUGCUGAAGGAAAGAACGUAGAAUGCACAAGGAGCCAUUUGUCUGAUUUAUUCGGCACCUUGUCCUGGGGCCAUUGCAGGCCCGCGCCAGAG
rnacentral:lncRNA from 1 species